UGAUAGGGACAGAUGGGGCUAGAGAGAGGAUCUGGACUUUUAAAAAGCUUUUGACAAGAGUUCCUUAUCAAAGACUCUUGAGAAAACUUAGCAGUCAUGGGAUAAGGUGACACAUACAUGUGUGGAUUGAUAAUUGGUUGAAGGAGAUGAAAGAGAGGAGUUGCAGCCGAGUAUGGAAUUUAGCCAAGCAGUAAAACCGUAAAUCACCUCCUCAGAUGGACUUGCUUGAAAGAGUUUCCUAUCUGAAAGAUGUCACGUGUAGCAUUGACAGGCAGCUAUUCAGAGGAUGGCAGACAGCCAAUAAAUCACUCAGUGGCACUUCCUUGUCCUCCCAGGCAUGUCUUACAAAAUCUACCAUUUCUGUCUUCAAACAGCAUGCGUCAAUGUCAAGGAGUUUAUGUUCCCUUUAAACUUCUGUACUUAUUUCUGCUCAACAUGCCCCUCCCCAAAACAACAACUCUUCUGUCUCUGUAUGUGUAUAGAAACUAAUUCAAUUUCCCCCCUUUCCUUUUUAAAGCUUGAAUAAAGGAAUCCCAUACACA